rnacentral:rRNA from 1 species
UACGUAGGGUGCAAGCGUUGUCCGGAAUUAUUGGGCGUAAAGAGCUCGUAGGCGGUUUGUCGCGUCUGCUGUGAAAACUCGGGGCUUAACUCCGGGCCUGCAGUGGGUACGGGCAGACUAGAGUGCGGUAGGGGAGACUGGAAUUCCUGGUGUAGCGGUGAAAUGCGCAGAGUAUCAGGAGGAACACCGGUGGCGAAGGCGGGUCUCUGGGCCGAUACUGACGCUAGGCGCGAAAGCGUGGGGAGCGAACAGG